AAAUGAUUCUGGGUUUUAGUCAAGUGGACAAAUAAAAUCAUGUCCUGUCAACUUGCAGUGUCUCACAACACAAUAGGAUGAGUUAUAUCAACCUCAACUUGAAGGGAAAUUGAAAACUUUAAAUAACGUGUUCAUAUAACAACAAAACAUAAGUUCUGUCAAGUUUCUUUCAAAUGCGCAUGUGCCAGAAACUCUACGUCAUGAUGACGUACUAUUUUACCGAAUUUGAGACAGACGCGCCAUCCGCCAUUUUCUGCACGAGAAGCUGCUGCUGAUCACGCAAGAAAAGAUGAUGAUGGAGCCCGCGUUUGAACGACUACAGAUGGGCUGAUGGGCUUUAUGGACCGCAAAUAAUGAAAUUAGCAUUCAUAUUUUGCGAACUAAGACAGCUUGAUCAAUAGUCACACGCACUGCCAGACAAAAUUAUGCUCGCUGGACAUCGAGCUGCUGUCGAUACGUGAGCAGAAAGAGAAGUCGUCUUUAACUAUUGUAAGGAUCAGUACAGUGGAAGCACAACUCCAUAUCGAUGAGGUGGUAUUGCAAGAUUUGUAGACACCAAAAACCUUCUUGCUUUACUAAGAGAACAUUCAAAAAGUCUGAGUUGAUCCUGUUCCAGAUUCUGUUGACGGCCUCAAGCUUGAACCUAAAAGCAGGCUCCAGCUGAAAGACACUUUUGACCUUCAAUAAGAAGAUGAAGACUUCCAUGAUUUCUGUAACCUUACAUGUGUAGCUGAUCUGUCCAAAAACAAGAUCAGCAAAGAAUUCACCUGUGUUAAAGGACUAGAGAAAGUCCUUUUUUGAAGGCCUAGAUGGUCAUCUCUCGAAGCUGAUGCAGUUAUUCAGGUCAAAGCAUUCCAGAAAUGACUUCAAUACUGGAGAGCCUUAAUAAGGAUACAACAAAGGAUGAGGACAGCAGCAUUGCUGGGCCUGCCAUGGUACAUGCGAGAGACUCAAAAUUCAUGAAGAUAUGCAAGCCCAGUGAGCGUGAAGAGGAUUUGAUCAAGGGUGUGGUGAUUGGAAUCCUAAUGGUUGUGGGAAAUGUGAUGGAACCUCUCCCAGCGAUCUACAAUGACGUUGCCCUGGUGAUUGAGGAAGAAGUGGUAAUGCAUCACCUUAGUGAUAUACCUAAUGCUUUUCUGAACCUGAUGGGCCUGGACUAUCCAAACCUUGACUACCCAAAGGAAUUAAAAUUCACUUUUUAAGUGAUACAGCACCCGUUUAUAGGAGUGGGAUCAGACUUUUGCACUGCAAGAGUUCACUCUUUGAAGAGGAGGUUGCUGCGAUAAGACAGAAAACGAACAAUCUUUUUUCCUUCUUGCUACUGUUUAAAGG